rnacentral:rRNA from 1 species
AGUGAACGCUGGCGGUAGGCCUAACACAUGCCAGUCGAACGGCAGCACAGUAAGAGCUUGCUCUUACGGGUGGCGAGUGGCGGACGGGUGAGGAAUACAUCGGAAUCUACUUUUUCGUGGGGAUAACGUAGGGAAACUUACGCUAAUACCGCAUACGACCUACGGGUGAAAGCAGGGGAUCUUCGGACCUUGCGCGAUUGAAUGAGCCGAUGUCGGAUUAGCUAGUUGGCGGGGUAAAGGCCCACCAAGGCGACGAUCCGUAGCUGGUCUGAGAGGAUGAUCAGCCACACUGGAACUGAGACACGGUCCAGACUCCUACGGGAGGCAGCAGUGGGGAAUAUUGGACAAUGGGCGCAAGCCUGAUCCAGCCAUACCGCGUGGGUGAAGAAGGCCUUCGGGUUGUAAAGCCCUUUUGUUGGGAAAGAAAAGCAGCAGGUUAAUACCCCGCUGUUCUGACGGUACCCAAAGAAUAAGCACCGGCUAACUUCGU